AUGCAUGUAUGUCGCGUCCCACCGCUGGCGGACGGACGCGCUACGUUUGACCGCCAAAUGCACCGGAGACCGGACGCAGAAAAUAUAUCCUCGUCGCAGCGACGCGAUGCCCCGGCCUUGGAGCUGGAGGUCGAGCACGGCAUGCGAAACACAAGCCGGGCGCGUCGCCGUGUGGCGCUGCGGAUAGUCCGAUCGAGCCAGCCGCUACGUGCCGAAAACGACGGGCCGAUGGAUCCAUCGCAACAAGCGCGGGCGGGCACGGAAAUCUCCCACGCCAUCCACGUAGGAGUAACGACAUGGUUUUCAAUAAUGUUUGUUGGCCUGGUAUGCAGGCUAUAUGGAGGAGAACAGCUACAAAUCUAUCUAUUUGGGGGAGUGGGCAGUGGAAAAGCUGGAGGAGAAAGCAAGAAGCCCACCUCUGUUGCUAUGGCCGAAUCCUGGCUGAGGCGCGAAAGCCCCCGUUAA
rnacentral:rRNA from 1 species